UGGCCCAGCUCCUACCUCCCGGCAGCCUCGCCAGGCCCAGAACUCUCUCCAGUCAGCCUCUACAGACCAAGCUCAUGACUCACAAUGGCCUAUUGAGGCCCAUACCCUACCUCACGGCAGUCUCCGCAGAUGAGCCUACUGCCUCACAACAGCCUCCACAGGCACAGCUCCAUCGUUACAAUGGCCUCUUUAGACCCAGCUCCUGCCUCCCAGCCUUCUCUCCAGGCCCUGAACUUUCUCCGGUGUCCCUCUGUUGUGCAAGGCUGGAGGGUAGUAGUGCUAUCGCAGCUGACUGCAGCCUCAACCUUCCAGGCUGAAGCGAUCCUCCCAUCUCAACCUCCCACGUGGCUGAGACUACAGGUGCUUGCCUCUAUGCCCACCUAAUAUUUGGUAUUUUUGUAUACGUGGAUUCCAGAGGGGUGACAGCGAAACGUGAGUGGGACCAUCCAGUUUCAGGAAAACAAGCUUAACACACCCACUGAUUCUACAUUAUGAUUCUUCAGGCCCAGCAUCUGCCUCACUGUGGACCCCCCAAGCCAAGCUCCCAACCUUUCAGCAGCUUCUACACACCCAGCUCCCGCCUGCCAGUGGCCUCUUCAGGCCCAUGGGGCUCAUUCCUCACAACAGCCUUUCCAGUCCCAGUUUUUCCCUUCCGGCGGCCUCUCCGGGCUGAGAACCUCCUCAAGUCGGCCUCUCCAGACCCACUUGCACCCUCCAGGCGUCCUCUCCGGGCCAAGCUCCUCUUCCUGGCUGCGUCUCCAGGCCUGACUCCUGCCUCUCAACAACCUCUUUGGACUCAGUGCCUACCCAUCUCCUGGCGUCCUUGGUCGGCCCACAGCUUCAUCAAGCCAAGCUCCCCAGGCCCAGGUCAGGCCUCACGGUGCCCCCUCCACGAUGAGCUCCUGCCCUCCAAUGGCACCUGCAGGCCCCAAAUGGUCUCCGGUCGGUGGGCUCCUCCACGCCAAGCUUGGGCCUCCCGGUGACCUCUGCAGGCCCAAGUUGUCCUGAAGUCGGCAUCUCCCGGCCGUGCCUCCCAGCAAGUAAGCAAGCUCUUUUGGCUCAACUCCUGCCCAGCUCCCAACCGCCUUUGUAGGUCCCGAACUUUCUCCAGCCAAGUUCUUUGGGCCUCAUUCCUGCCGCCCGGUGGCCUGUACGGGCCCAGCAAUGGUUGGAGAACGGCCUCUGCAGGUCCCGCUCUUGCCUCCCAGGGGCCUCUCCAGGCCCAGCUCUUGCCCUCACGGCGGCCACCCGGGGCCAAGUCCCUGCCUGCCUCCCAGCAGCCCUCAUGCGGCCCAGCUCCUCCCUCACGGUGGCCUGUUGAUGCCCAUGCCUCUGGUACCCUGCCCAGAGGCAUGAGCCCCUGCCACACACUGGCUCCUCCUAUGCUGAGAGAGGUCAGCGUGAGCCCUUGCCUCACACCGGCCCCUCCCACGCUGAGAGAGGUCAGCGUGAGCCCCUUGCCUCACACCGGCCCCUCCCACGCUGAGAGAGGUCGGCGUGAGCCCUUGCCUCACACCGGCCCCUCCCACGGUGAGAGAGGUCAGCGUCAGCCCCUUGCCUCACACCGGCCCCUCCCACGCUGAGAGAGGUCGGCGUGAGCCCUUGCCUCACACCGGCCCCUCCCACGGUGAGAGAGGUCAGCGUCAGCCCCUUGCCUCACACCGGCCCCUCCCACGCUGAGAGAGGUCGGCGUGAGCCCUUGCCUCACACCGGCCCCUCCCACGCUGAGAGAGGUCAACGUGAGCCCCUUGCCUCACACCGGCCCCUCCCACGGUGAGAGAGGUCAGUGUGAGCCCUUGCCUCACACCGGCCCCUCCCACGGUGAGAGAGGUCAGCAUCAGCCCCUUGCCUCACACGGGCCCCUCUCACUCUGACAGAGGUCAGCCUGAGCCCUUGUCUCACACCGGCCCCUCCCACGCUGAGAGAGGUCGGCGUGAGCCCUUGCCUCACACGGGCCCCUCUCACUCUGACAGAGGUCAGCCUGAGCCCUUGUCUCACACCGGCCCCUCCCACGCUGAGAGAGGUCAACGUGAGCCCCUUGCCUCACACCGGCCCCUCCCACGCUGAGAGAGGUCAACGUGAGCCCCUUGCCUCACACCGGCCCCUCCCACGCUGAGAGAGGUCAGCGUGAGCCCUUGCCUCACACCGGCCCCUCCCACGCUGAGAGAGGUCGGCAUGAGCCCCUUGCCUCACACGGGCCCCUCUCACUCUGACAGAGGUCAGCCUGAGCCCUUGUCUCACACCGGCCCCUCCCACGCUGAGAGAGGUCAGCCUGAGCCCUUGCCUCACACCGGCCUCUCCCACGCUGAGAGAGGUCAGCCUGAGCCCUUGCCUCACACCGGCCCCUCCCACGCUGAGAGAGGUCAGCCUGAGCCCUUGCCUCACCCCGGCCCCUCCCACGCUGAGAGAGGUCAGCGUGAGCCCUUGCCUCACACCGGCCCCUCCCACGCUGAGAGAAGUUGGCGUGAGCCCUUGCCUCACACCAGCCCCUCCCACGGUGAGAGAGGUCAGCGUCAGCCCCUUGCCUCACACUGGCCCCUCCCAUGCUGAGAGAGGUCGGCGUGAGCCCUUGCCUCACACCGGCCCCUCCCACGCUGAGAGAGGUCAGCGUGAGCCCCUUGCCUCACACCGGCCCCUCCCACGCUGAGAGAGGUCAGCGUGAGCCCUUGCCUCACACCGGCCCCUCCCACGCUGAGAGAGGUCAGCGUGAGCCCCUUGCCUCACCCUGGCCCCUCCCACGCUGAGAGAGGUCGGCGUGAGCCCUUGCCUCACACCGGCCCCUCCCACGGUGAGAGAGGUCAGCGUGAGCCCCUGCCUCAACAGGCCACCGUGAGGGAGGAGCAGGGUCGCACGCGGGCUGCUGUGAGGCAGGCAGCGACUUGGGCCUGGGAGGUCGUGGUGGGGUGAGAGCUGGGCUUGGAGACUCCCCUGGGAGGCAACAGCAGGGCCUACAGACUCUGUUCUCCAGCCGGAGCUGGGACUGUUCAGGUACUGGGAGGUGGGAUGUGGGUCUGAAGAGCUUGGUUGCAGAAACUUCGGGGUCUACAAACGCAGGCGGGAGCUGAGCCAAAAAAGCUUGUUUGCUGGGAGGUGGGAGAUGCAGUCAGGAGAAACAGCUGUGCCUGCAGAGGCCGCCAUGCGGGAGGUGGAGGCCGGGCCUCCUCAAAUCGGCCUCUCCAGACCCACUUGCAGCCUCCCGGCAUCCUCUCCGGGCCCAGCUCUUCCUCCCGGCUGCGUCUCCAGGCCUGACUCUGGCCUCCCAACAACGUCUUUGGACUCAGCUCCUGCCCAGCUCCCAGCAGGCCCAAGUCGUCGUCAAGUCGGCCUGGAAUUGGGCCCAGAAGAGCAGCAAGUCGGCCUCCCCGGGCCCAGCUCCGUCCUCUCGGCGGCCUCUCCAGGUGCAAAACUUCCUCGAGUCAGCCUCUCCAGGCCCGGCUCCUCCUGCCUCCCAGUGGCCUCUUUCAGCCCAGACCAGCUCAUGGCUCUUGGCGGCCUUCCCAGGCCCCGCUUUUGACUUUUGGUGGCCUCUUCAGGCCCAGAACUUGACCUCCAGUGGGCCUUUGCAGGCCCGGCCUCCUGCCUCUCGAAGGCCUGCACGGGCCCGGACUCACAGCGGACUCACAGCGGACUCUCCAUGCCCAGCUAGCUCUCGCCUCAUUGCGGCCUCCCGAGUCCAAAGCUCCUGCCUCUCGGCCGCUUCGGCAGGCCCAGCUCCCGCCUGCCAGUGGCCUCUUUAGGCCCAGCUCAUUCCUCACAACGGCCUUCCCAGGCCCCGUUUUUCCCUUCUGGCAGCCUCUUGGCCUCUAAUUUGUUUAUCUUUUGUGUAUAAAUCCCAAAAUAUUGAAUUUUGGAAUAUUUCCACCAUUAUGUAAAUAUUUUGGUAGGUGAUUUAUUUGGGGUGAGUUUCUGCACCAAGCCCGAAUUUUUUAUUUUAUUUUCCUUAUUAUUUGGUGUUAAACAGGUUUAAUGACGGUCAUGGCAACUGUUUGGCACAAUGAAAAAUAUCGCCCAUGAUCAACGUGUUCUGUUCUGGGGAAGGGGGCAAAGGCAGGGUGAAUCACUUUCUUAAAAAGUAUAGCUCAAGUUGGGAGUGCAGAGGGAAUGGGGAGAAAACCCUCCCGCUGCCUGUGUCGAAGUGCAGGAGCCCCCACUCCCAUACUCACCUGAGUCCAGCCCCUCUGGGGAAAGAAGGGGUGCAUGAACUCCCCCUAGUCCACAGGUACCUUCCUGUGGCCCAAGGCCCUCUUCACACUCCAUCUUGUAGCCCCAACAGGAGCUAUUUUCCGAAAAGUGAAAAGCUCUGAAGGUCCCACAAUUCAUGGUAUGUACACCUCCCUCACCAGGGGCUGCAAAGUGGCCUGGAGCUCCAUACUGAGUAGAAGUCUUUGGGCCAGAGUCAGCAUCUGGCUGACGGUCCGGAUAUCCUGGUUGGAGUGACCCUGGUGCACCCUGCCAGGGCCUGGUGCCGCUUGCUGAAGAUCAUGACCGCCACUCAUGGGCCACCGAUGUGGUCCUUGUCCCAUUUGUUGGGGCUGCAUCCAUCCUUCUCAGAAGAUGAGUCCUGUUCCUUGCGCAGGGCACUGAGGGACUGGGCCUGACAUCAUCUGAGUGGUAGAGGCAACUGGGUGUCAGGAGACAUGAUGGAGAGGAAAGCAUCAUCAUGGUCAUUCUCUGUCUCACUGUCCAGCAGGGACUCCCCUGAGGGGCCCAGGGCUCCUCCUCCAUGGUGGGAGAGUCAUGCUCUGUCACCCAGGCUGGAGUGCAAUGUGUGGUCUAGGCUCACUAGGGUUAGGGUUAGGGUUUUAGGGUAAGGGUGAAGGGUUAGGGUUUUAGGGUAAGGGCGAAGGGUUAGGGUUUUAGGGUAAGGGCGAAGGGUUAGGGAUUUAGGGUAAGGGCGAAGAGUUAGGGUUUUAGGGUCAGGGCCCAGGGUCAGGGUUUUAGGGUCAGGGCGAAGGGUUAGGGUUUUAGGGUCAGGGCGAAGGGUUAGGGUUUUAGGGUCAGGGCCCAGGGUUGGGGUUUUAGGGUCAGGGCCCAGGGUUAGGGUUUUAGGGUCAGGGCCCAGGGUUAGUGUUUUAGGGUCAGGGCCCAGGGUUAGGGUUUUAGGGUCAGGGCCCAGAGUUAGUAGGGUUUUAGGGUCAGGGCUCAGGGUUAGUAGGGUUUUAGGGUCAGGGCCAAGGGUUAGUAGGGUUAAGGGUCAGGGCCCAGGGUUAGGGUUUUAGGGUCAGGGCCCAGAGUUAGUAGGGUUUUAGGGUCAGGGUUCAGGGUUAGUAGGGUUUUAGGGUCAGGGCCAAGGGUUAGUAGGGUUAAGGGUCAGGGCCCAGGGUUAGGGUUUUAGGGUCAGGGCCCAGGGCCCAGGGUUAGGGUUUUAGGGUCAGGGCCCAGGGCCAAGGGUUAGGGUUUCAGUGUCAGGGCCUGGGGCCCAGGGUUAGGGCUUCAGGGCCAGGGCCCGGGGCCCAGGGUUAGGGCUUCAGGGACAGGGCCGGGAGCCCAGGGUUAGGGCUUCAGGGACAGGGCCGGGAGCCCAGGGUUAGGGAUUCAGGGUCAGGGCCCGGGGCCCAGGGUUAGGGCUUCAGGGUCAGGGCCCGGGGCCCAGGGUUAGGGCUUCAGGGCCAGGGCCCGGGGCCCAGGGUUAGGGCUUCAGGGCCAGGGCCCGGGGACCAGGGUUAGGGCUUCAGGACCAGGGCCCGGGGACCAGGGUUAGGGCUUCAGGACGAGGGC